GAAGUAAGGUCAUUGGAAUAUAGCUUACUUUUGAGUUAUGAUAAAUGUUAAUAAAAUGGCUGAUUGAAUUACACCGUACAUAUAUUCGGAUAUCAAUAGACGGUUCAUAAACUAAGACACGAACAGGCAGCUGAAUUAAUUAUAACAAAUCGAUCACAUACUUUGAUGAUGUGUGCCGGAGAGACGGCGUAAAACAUUGUUUUCAAAAGAUUUCUGGACAGAUAAUAAAAUAAAACGGAAAUUAUCCGAAACAUUUCUUUUGGACACAGUGACAUGUGUUUUUAAUGAUUUAAGAAAGGGUAAUUGAUUUGGUUUUUACUAAGCAAUGAUAAGAAGAUGGUUUUAACAAAAAAUAAUCAUUAACGAAAUGGCUGUCAGGACACUUAGCGGAAUUUUCAAUAAAAAGUGUGACUUGAAACUUGCAUAGAAAGUUUUUUUUCCGGGAACAUUUUUUUCCAACUAUUUAGUAAAGAUGACAAAACUUUCUGUGUCUGUAAAUGUAGAAGAGAUUGUAGUGGGUUUGGAGGAGUUACUAGGUGAACUUUCGGACAGGUAUAUGUCAUAUGCCAUUUUCGGCUCAGUGUGUAUAUUUCUAGGAAUACUGUUCGCCUCGUGCAUUGGAUCUAUGUGCGGGCUGCUGCUUCACGGAUUUUGCAAAAGACGUUUCAGUCAACGGAAAAGGAAACGGAAACGUCCUUCUAUACGUCGGAACAAUACGUAUGAUGAAAUAAGUGUUAAGAGUAAUAAAAAUUUGUUAAACAAACAGAAUAUAGAUGAACGGUGAUGUAAUGUGUUCAAGUGAAAUAGUGACCAAGUAUAUAAUUUUUAUGGCAUAUUUUGAGAUAUGCAUAGUUCUUUUAUGCCAAAAACUUUUUGUUUUAAAUUGUUAUUUACAACUCAUUAUUAUGCGUGAAAUUAUGAGAUUAAAACCUAAGGUACAACGAACAAUGUAACAUGCCAAAUGUUUGCGGCGUUCACAAAGUGCAUAUUUUGUUAAUUACUAUCUAUUUAUAGUUUUGUUUUGACCGUCGGGUUAAAAUUUAUGAUGUUUCGAUACGAAACAACUCAAUUUUACCGAUUAAUUGUCUUUCGUUUAAUGUUUUCUUAUAAUGAUACCAAAAUCGUUUAUUUAUGUGAACCUAGUCAGGAACAAAUGUUUUAAUGUAUAUGUUAAAAGUAUAAAUAAAUGAUACUGCACCGAAACUUUUUAAUAAUGAAGCGAAAUGUAGUUUUAUGACCGGAAUGUGCUCAAUGGAUUCAAUCCCUUAUACGGAUUUGUCAUAUUGUUGCGUAACAUUCAUGCAUGCGUUAUGUCGUUCUUUCAAUUAGGCCUAUACUAUAUUGAAUAUAUCGCUUAUCAUUAUUUAUUAUCAUGGUAUUUUCUAUCAUAAAGACAAAUAUGUAAAUCUAAAAUUUAUGACAGAAUAAAAAAAAUUGAUGUGCAAUAAAACAGAUAACAUGA